UCGAAGGUAGCAUAAUCAUUAGUCUUUUAAUUGAAGGCUGGUAUGAAUGGUUGGAUGAAAUAUUAGCUGUUUCAUUUAAAAUUAUUAUAGAAUUUUAUUUUUUAGUUAAAAAGCUAAAAUUUUAUUAAAAGACGAGAAGACCCUAUAAAUCUUUAUAUAUUAUUUAUAUUAAUUAUAUAGAUUUUUUUGGUUAUUAUAUUUUAGUAUAUUUUAUUGGGGUGAUAUUAAAAUUUAAAAAACUUUUAAUUUAUAUAAACCAUAAAUUAAUGAGUAUAUGAUCCAUUAUUAAUGAUUAAAAAUUUAAGUUACUUUAGGGAUAACAGCGUAAUUUUUUUGGAGAGUUCAUAUCGAUAAAAAAGAUUGCGACCUCGAUGUUGGAUUAA
rnacentral:rRNA from 1 species